GCUCCAUUGUUUCUGAAACAGGGUGUAAAUGAUAAUAAUUCAUUGUCCCCAGCUUUGCAGAUGCCUGCAUGGUUAGUCCUUCCUCUGGGCCUCGUGAUGUGUGUAGCCGCUGGUGGAGUCUACGUUAAGAGGAAGUGCAACAAGGAUGCAGCACAUGAACAGUCAAUAUUGGAAUGAGACUCACGUGUAUGAGGAUGUAGAUAAUGCGGAACUACAACAGAAAAAAGAAUCCGAAAGAGAAGCAGCCAUCAAAACACUGAGAUUAUCUAUAAUUUAUCACAAGAUGUGAACUAGAUCCUUUUAUUUUUUGUGUUUUUGUCACUAUUUUGACCUAAAUGAAGAAAUUUCAUAACCAUCAAUGAAAUAAA